UGAUGUUAGGGGUGGUGUAUUAGGAACUCUGUCUUCCAGGUCUGAAGCGGCCGUUGAAUGCAUGCACUCACAGCGGCUCUGGAUAACUGUAGCAGAUAGGGCCCAGCAUUAGUCCAUCAUGCGCGGGGGAGGGGCUCACGCGGCUCCGCCCUCCCCCGAGGCAGUUAAUUGUUACUGGAGAAGGGGAGAGAUUUUCUGAGGAUGUAGGUUGCUGAUACUCCUGUAAAUAUUUCUUCUCCCAUGCUCACGUGAGCAACCCUGCUUACAUUUAUUGGAUUUAAAAAAUGAAAAAGACAACCCACCAACCAACAUCACACGCGAAGACUUCAAAGUAGAAGGGGGACUGGAGACUUGGGAAGGGGAUUGGACCAACAGCAGUGCGAUCAUAAUACAUCAUCCACAUGUAUAAAAUGCCAUAACGAAGCCCAUUAUUAUAUAUAAUUAAUAGAUGUUAAUAAAAAAUUGAAAUGGAAAAAAAGAAAAAGGCCUUCAUCUCCCCAGCAGUCUGGGUUAAAGAAAGCUGUGAGGAGGUUCUUUACGCGGCCUUUGAGAGAUCCAAAAGCACAGGCAGAAGCGGGAAGGAGACAGUUCAGUCUGAGCCACACAACCCAGCCUCCUCUAGAAAGCCAAGGUGGCUGGCCCACUCGAGCCUGGUUCCGUUUCUACUUGAACAGUUUACUUUUACCCAGGAGGAACCAGGGAGGCUCGUGAGAAGCCUUGCCAUUCUCAGAAAUCAGGGAACACGUUAAGACGUUUGCUAGGUGAGAAGCCAGGGAUACGGCACCGUGAGAUCAGGACGGCUGAGGAUCUGGAGUUUGAUAGCAGCCCGAGCUACAGAGUGAGAUCCUGUCAUAAACAAACGGACAACUGAAUGACUCCACUGGCUUUUAGCCUUCCCAGUAUUAGGUGAAUGUUGUGAUUGCUCAGAGUCCUCAUGGCAGCAGCAACGGUGUCUCUGUCAAGUCCUGUGGUGGUGCGCAUACAGAGUUGCUCAUCUGCCCCCAACCGGCCCUCGGCCCGCGCCUGGGCACGGAUGCCCUCAAAGAAGCAGCACCAUCUCAGGGUGCCCGCACUUACAGAGCUCAGGUUUACUCUCCACGGUUCUCCCAGAACAAAGCAGCCCUCAGUGCUGCAGGGCUGCCAUGCCCUUGUUAACCAGAACAUGAGGGCCGACCUCCCCUUCUUCGGACAAGCUGGACCACGUUGAAGCUGUAAACAGGCCCAUAAAUCAGCUGCCCUACAAUGGCAGAGUUCUUGCGAGCCCUCAAGCCCCAUAUGCAUUCCUCCUGGUUAAUGAAUACCGAGGUAGAGCCGCUGUUCUACUCAGUGGAAGCCGAGUUAGAACCAGAAGAUGGAUAUGUGAAAAUCAGCUGCCCAGGAAAACCAAAGCCACCGAAGGAAACUGACUUCAAAGGCCUCCAGUCUCCUCUACGCAAUGCUUUGCCAGCUGAGUAAUUUGUAUGACAAAGCAGAUGCGCAUGAACCCAGCCCUGUGAGUGCAUUUUGCUCCCGUCCCAGGUGAGAGGGUUUUUCUUUUAAAAACUGUCUUCACCUCUUCUACUUGGAGUGCCGUGUGGAACCUCUGGUGUAAGGAGAAGCUUUCUAAAAGUCCAGAGGCCUCACUGCCCCCUCUAUGGCUUUUCCUGGCUCCCGAGUGCAUUCAGAGCACACUUCUCAGCAGCUUGUGGUGGGUUAGAUCCUACGGGUUUUCUUCCUUCCCUUCCAUUUUAUGAAAGAAAGAGUUUAUUUUGGACAGGGCAGCGGUGGUGCACUUUUAGUCCCAUCAUUCAGGAGACGGAGGCAGGCAGAUCAUUGUGAGUUUGAGGUCAACCUGAUCUAUAGACUGAGUUCUAAGACAGUCAAGGUUACAGAGAGAAACCCUGUCUCAAAACAAACAAACAAACAAACAAAGAGUUGAUCUUGGUUUAAUGUUUAAUGGGGUCAGAGUUCAUCAUGGUAGGGAAAUAUGGCAGCAAGCUUCAGGCACAGCGACAGAAGCUGAGAGCUGGUAACCAUGCACAGCAGAGAGAGAAGGAAAAGUGGGGUGAGGCUAAGUUGACCCCCCAGUGAUGUGCUUCCUACAGCCAGGCUCCACCUCCCAAAGGUUCCACAAAUUCCCCAAAACAGCACCCACCCUACAGCCUUUCUUAACAGAUGAACUAAAACAAGUUCUUGCUGAUGGCUGGAGAUCCUGUAAGAUGAGACACCCCAAGUCUCUGAAACAGAAGACAAGAGGAAUACUCAGAGACUAAGAAAAAACAAGCACAGGGGUGAUGGCUUAGUGGUGAAGGUGCCUGUCACUCAACAAAGGAGGACCUGAGUUCAAAGCUCCACUACUCACGUAACAUUCUCCGCUCAUCCCGGUGCUGGGGAGGUGGACACAAGAGCAUCUCUGCAGCUUGCUGGCCAUCCAGCCAAAUCAGUGUGCUUUGGGUUCAAAAAGUGGGGUGGAAAGAAGGAAGAGGAAGACAUCAGGUGAUAGCCCGCCCUGGCCUCUGGGCACACAUGCACACACACAAACAUACACAGAAGCAAGAACACAACCCAUUUAUAAUCUCCCCCCCCCCGUGUGUGUGUGUGUGUAUCUGUAUGUGUGUGUGUCUGUAUGUGUGUGUGUAUAUGUGUGUGUAUGUAUGUGUGUAUAUAUGUGUGUGUCUCUGUGUGUGUAUGUGUGUGCAUGCAUGUGUGUAUAUGUGUGUGUACGUGUAUGUACAUGUAUGUGAGUGUGCAUGUGUGUGUGUCUGUGUGUAUGUCUGUGUGUGCAUGUAUGUAUGUGUGUGGGUGUGUGUGUAUGUGUGUGUAUGUAUGUGUGUGUGUAUAUUAUGUGUGUUUGUGUGGUAUAUGUGUGUGUCUGUGUGUCUAUGUGUGUGUGUGGUGUAUAACUGCAGUUUAUUGGUUUUUCACAUUGCUUAAGCUUAGAUACGAAGCCUCUAACUUUAAAGUCUAGAGCAAGCCCCUUUUGUGUCAGUUAAUAGGUCAGGGCACAGCACGAUUCUUUCCUGUCCCAUCAACUGCAUAGAGGCACACAUUGAAUAACAGCCAUUGAGAUUUUCUGCCUAUGUAAGGAAAAAGGCAUAUACCACAUUUGAAAAAAAUGUAUUUACCUAGACAGGCGCUGAUUUAACAGUAAAAAGAAAAUGUGUUUAAUCACAUUGCCUUAAAAACCAUGUAGCUAACUUUUUUUUUUCAGGUCGAAUAUCUGAAAAAUAUAUUCACCCGCAUAUUUCAAAAGAAAAGGAAUGCAGUGAACAUGCCCAGGUUGAUGGGAAGCUCAGGUCUGCACACGUGCUUCUGACAAGAUCAUCUGACAUGAGCCGGCCGAGAGUGCUCUCCUCAGCUCCAUGCUGCAAGCUAUCAGCCAGCAUAGGAAAUCUGAAGUGGCAAUCCCUUCCACAUCCAGGAAUGAAUUCCUGCUGUCUGCACCAUCCAUGGCUGCUCCUGACUUUGGGAGUUCUCAUGGACUUCCACAGCUAUUCCUUUUCCAGAAACAGGCCAGCGGAAGGCAAGACCAAAGCCCACCCUCUCUACCCAGAUUGCUACCUUUAAUGGAGAAAGAAACAUGCAUGCACACAGGCAAAAGCCUGCUCUCUCUCUCUCUCUCUCUCUCUCUCUCUCUCUCUCUCUCUCUCUCUCCCUCUCCCUCUCUCCCUCCCUCCCUCCCUCUCUCCUUCUCUCCCUCCCUUCCUUCUCCCCCUGCCCCCCCUCUCUGCCCCAAGCUUCCUCAUAUUCUUGUCCCUGGGGACCAGCAAAUAAACUACUUUUCCCACCAGACAGAAUUCCUUCCUGAAGACGCUGGACUUUGGAAACAGCAAUCAGAAUAUUACUUCUCUCAGUGGUUAGAGUCCUUGCACCUUCAGGUGGGCCCAGGAACUGUGCCCAGCCUCCAAGGCUCUGUCCAGAGAGCUGCUCUGAAAGCCUGGAGCUGUUUGUCUUGGCAGAUCUGAGGGCAGCUGAGGUCUGCCAGGGAAGCUGAGGCUGAGAGGGAAGGGGAUGGGGGAUCUGCACCAUUUCCUGAGCCUGCAUCUUGUUUGGGGAUGGGGUUCUGCUGUGCCGUGUUCUCUACUCUCCAGGCUGAAGCUCCAGCUCGGUGAACCACAUCCUGAAGAUGCCCAGCUUGGCACUAUUGCUCAGGACUCUCUUUUCCUCUCGGCUACAAACCAGAGCGUCUGUCUCCAGGAAGGCCACAAGGACGGAGUUAUUCUUUCCCACCUCCUGCUUUCCAACGCCAGGAACAACAAGAGAGGAAAGCAGUGUGGAUGCUGGGCCUCCCUCCUGGCAGCUGGAGCAGGGGCUGCAUUCCCUCUGAGAGCAUCCUGUGGUGUGGCCUGUGUAACUUACUCCUUAGGAAUCUCGAGGCUUCUGGAUUGUUGGAGGAGAAAUUCCUCCACAGGGGUUCUGAGCAAAAUGAUGUAUUUGAAUCUUACUGCAGCACACUUGGGUGGGGUUGCCAACUGUAUUUUUCAGGGACUCAUUAUAAAAAUGGGACAGUUUGCAAGAA